rnacentral:tRNA from 1 species
AAAUUAAGUACUCAAAAAUAAGAAGCAAAAUUUUGCAACUAGUUUCGACCUAGGAGUUUGACUAAAAAUCCUUAUUU